GGGAGAUUUGGUUUUCCCAUAAUGCUUCAUUUUUUUUCCCAAAAGGAGAGUGAAUUCACGUAAUGCUUAUGUAAUUUAAAAAAUCAUCAAACAUGUAAAAAGAAAAACGGGGGCGAACAUGCUGGGUGACAUGAGCUGUUUAACCUGCUGCCAGGCUCAGGAAUGAGGGCAUUUUCUGUAGAUCCAUGAGAAUGUCCCAGGUUGCUGCCUCUCCAGGGUGGUUUCCGUGGGUGCUCACAUGUGGCAUCGAGGUUACAAAGUGCUCUUCCCAUUUGAUUCAUGGUCACAAAAAUAGCCUUCCCAGGCCGGGCAGGCCCGCAUGCCCCCGUCUUUUACGGAGGUGGAAAUGGAGGUCCAGAGAGGCAAAGUGACUUUCCUGCAGUCACACAGCAGUGUCUGGUGGUGCCAUGCUCAGAGCUCCGCACUUUGGGUCCUGAGCUCCUCCCAGAUUUGCCUGCUCUCUGGAACCGACAUCUGUAGCUCCUUCCCAGGGAGAUCUGGGUCUCCCACUGCAUUUUGACCUCCCUGUGGCUGCAGGAGCUGCUGCUUCUUGGUCAGAUGGUAUCCCCUUCCCCCCCAGCAGUAUCUCAGGAUAAAAAUAAACCAUCCUGUUCUCUUUUCCUGCUGAGCCAACUGAGGGGGAGCCUAGCCAGGAGGAACGGCAGAUGGAGAGGGAGCAGAGGGGAGGGGAGGGGAGGGGAGGGGGGAGGGGAGGAAGGGUGGAGGACAAGGAGGAGAAGGAAGAGCAAUGCAAAGUACCCUGCAGAACCCGGCACAAAGGUUCGAGGCAUUGUCUUGCUCUGUUGCCCAGGCUGA
rnacentral:lncRNA from 13 species